rnacentral:rRNA from 1 species
GGAAGGAGCGAGCGUUGUUCGGAUUUACUGGGCGUAAAGGGCACGUAGGCGGGCUUCGUAAGUUGGAUGUGAAAUCCUACCGCUUAACGGUAGAACUGCAUUCAAAACUACGAGGCUUGAGUUCAGGGGAAGAGAGUGGAAUUCUCGGUGUAGCGGUGAAAUGCGUAGAUAUCGAGAAGAACACCGGAGGCGAAGGCGACUCUCUAUUCUGAAACUGACGCUGAGGUGCGAAAGCCAGGGGAGCGAACGGGAUUAGAUACCCCGGUAGUCCUGGCCGUAAACGAUGUGCACUUGGUGUUGGGCUGCGAAGUCCAGUGCCGAAGCUAACGCAUUAAGUGCACCGCCUGGGGAGUACGACCGCAAGGUUG